AGGGGAUGAAAAGGAAGGGGUGCUGCAGCUUGCACAGAAGGUAUGGGAAUGGCAUUACUGCUUUAUUCUUUGCCUUGGUCUACACAGGAAUAAAGCAAGGAAGAAACUGGUGCCUAAGGUCACACUGAUAAUAGAUGAAGUGAUGGAGCAAGGAUUCAACUGCCAGCAGUUUGGUUCCUCAGCCUCUGUGAAACUACUUAUUUGAAGCUUUAUUCCAACUGACUCCUAAAAGGUCUUACCAGAUCCUGCACACCUAUAGGAAGGAGGGAGAGUGUCUGACAGCAGCCCCCGAUCUCAAAUGCUACCCAUGACCAUCUGUUACACCUUAGUGGGAAUCUAAAUCAUCUAAUCACUAAAUGAUGUGCCCACUGCUUCAUCUCUACUUAUACAGUGAAAGAUCAUAGAUUUUAUCAAAGGUAUUUUGAGCAUCAAAUUGGAAAUCCUGGGAAACUCCUGGGCAUGGAGG
rnacentral:antisense_RNA from 1 species